GGGGGUGUAGCUCAGUGGUAGAGCGCAUGCCUAGCAUACAUCAAGGUCCUGGGUUCAAUCCCCAGCACCUCCA
rnacentral:tRNA from 1 species